UACGGAGGGUGCGAGCGUUGUCCGGACUCAUUGGGCGUAAAGGGCGCGUAGGUGGCCCGCCAAGCGUGCGGUGAAAGCUCGGGGCUCAACCCCGAGUCGGCCGUGCGAACUGGUGGGCUUGAGCACUGUAGAGGCAGGCGGAAUUCCGGGUGUAGCGGUGGAAUGCGUAGAGAUCCGGAGGAAGACCGGUGGCGAAGGCGGCCUGCUGGGCAGUUACUGACACUGAGGCGCGACAGCGUGGGGAGCAAACAGG
rnacentral:rRNA from 1 species